CCUAAUCAGCGGUGGUGCGCAUCUUCGUGUUUAUCGUUUCGCUUUGAUCGGCGGAAGGGACGAUCCAGUUCCUGUAACGAUUUUCAUGGUGAUUAAUCAUCUUAACUCCUCCUAAUUAGUGAGCCCACUUGGAAGCUUUCGCUGGCGAUGUACUACGUCGGCUAGAUCUGCUAUAAAUAUGUUACGAUCCCUUCUCUGCGAAUCGCGAUCUCUGCAUCUCUCUUUUUAUCAUCUCACUCAUAUUCAUACGAUCUCUGCAUCUCUCUAUUAAUCAUCUCACUCAUAUUCAUAUCUGUCUCAACCACAAAGACUGAGAUGGUCUGUAGUUGUUUACUUCUUUCUUACUCAAUACUCAACCUGUUGUUUAUGAGUGAGAUGAUUAACAGAGAGAUGCAAAGAUGUAAUGUAUAUGAAGUUCCUUAUCAUAUUUAACCAAGGAAGCUUGAAGAUCAUCAGCCACCAUCCCUACUUCAAGUGGAGAUACAAAACAUAGACAGAUUCUCAGGAGUUGAUUGCUUAGAUCUCCUCCUUCUCCAUUCUAUUUUUCCAUUCAUUCUGUUAGCUGAUACAUUUUUAUUUGUUUUCUUCCUGUGUCAGAGAUUAGUUGUCGACAGGUGCAUCACGAGGUGGCGGUGAGAGAUCAGCUGGAGAAGAAAGAUGGACGUGGACGUGUCCAGAUGGACGUCCAUGGACAGAGUGUCCAGUUGACAUCCUUAGAUCCAGAGUGAAAGAAGACAGCCAGAGUUUCACGACAGACAAGAAAGUCAAUAUUAACAAACCUUUGAACACGAUCUACAAUAAGACAAGUCUAUGUAGUUUCUUUGGAUCUAAAACAAUAGCUUGCAUCCGUAAAAUUCAUCAGGUCUUUGCUCACAAACAUUAUUAGCAGAUAAACUCUCUCAGGCGGAUUAACUACGCCGACCAACCAGGAUCCUAUUUGUCUCUUAUGCCAACACUUACAAGACGUUCAUUCAUCAUGUACCAAUCUCGAUUCUAUGAUUUACGUUGAGAUCCGUACGGACCAUAGACAAAUACGGUGAAGGAAUGGAAUUGACGUGCUGGAAGCCUGAGGCUUAACGAACGGGUCUUUCUGAUAAUGAGUGACUGGUGAGUCUCUAUGGGAGGAUUUUAGCAUUUUAAGGCUUCUAAAGUGUCAGUGAUUCACACUCAGCUUACUUUCUCAAGAACAAUUAAUCUCGAGCAAGCUGCUCAGAUUCUGCGAAGCAUGAAACAUUGAACGUGGUGAGAGUAUAGUAGUUGCUGUGGAUUUUCCCUGGAGUCCGCCGUGGUUUUGUUAUUCUAUUUUAUUUAGAUUGAUAACUCUUUUAUUUUCUUCUAUCUUAUGUUUCAAUUGUGGGAUUCAGUGAGAAAUUAUGAUUUUUGGUUUUGAUUCAUAAAUCGAAGAUUAGUAUUUUGUUUUAGUGUUUUUUGUUAUAUAUAU